AAUGAACGCUGGCGGCGUGCUUUACACAUGCAAGUCGAGCGAGGCGGGUAGCAAUACCCAGUCGAGCGGCGAACGGGUGAGUAACGCGUGGAUAACCUGCCCAGAGGUGGGGAGUAACCGGGAAACGUCGGCGUAAUACCGCAUAUGACCGUGAGGUCGAAAGGGGCGUCGCAAGAGCUCUCGCCAUUGGAGGGGUCCGCGUACGAUUAGCUAGUUGGUAGGGUAAUGGCCUACCAAGGCGACGAUCGUUAGCCGGCCUGAGAGGGUGAUCGGCCACACUGGAACUGAGACACGGUCCAGACUCCUACGGGAGGCAGCAGUGGGGAAUUUUNCGCAAUGGGCUAACGCCUGACGCAGCAACGCCGCGUGGAGGAUGAAGGUCUUUGGAUGUAAGCUCCUGUCAGCAGGGAAAAAGCGACCUGACCUCAUACGUCGAGGGAGGUUGAUUGUACCUGCAGAGGAAGCCCGGCUAACUCUGUGCCAGCCGCCGCCGU
rnacentral:rRNA from 1 species